GCGGCGGACGGCUGAGUAACACGUUGGUACCUACCCUAAAGUAGAGGAUAGCCCAGAGAAAUCUGGAUUAAUACUCUAUAGUCCCCUUCGGGGGUAAAGAUUUAUCGCUUUGGGAGGGGCCUGCGGGCUAUCAGUUAGUUGGUGAGGUAACGGCUCACCAAGACUAUGACGGCUAGGGGACGUGAGAGCAUGACCCCCCAGAAUGGGACUGAGACACGGCCCAUACUCCUACGGGAGGCAGCAGUAAGGAAUCUUCCGCAAUGGACGAAAGUCUGACGGAGCGACACCGCGUGAAGGAUGAAGGCUUUAGGGUUGUAAACUUCUUUUCUGAGAGAAUAAAUCUGAAGUUAACUCAGGAAUAAGCACCGGCUAACUACGUGCCAGCAGCCGCGGUAAUACGUAGGGUGCGAGCGUUAUCCGGAAUCAUUGGGCGUAAAGCGUCCGCAGGUGGUAGAGCAAGUCUGAAGUAAAAGCUUGGAGCUCAACUCCAAAAUCGUUUCGGAAACUGGUUUACUAGAGGAAUGUAGGGGUAAGUGGAAUUCGAUGAGUAGGGGUUAAAUCCGUAGAUCUAUCGAGGAACACCAAAAGCGAAGGCAGCUUACUGGGCAUUUCCUGACACUCAUGGACGAAAGCGUGGGGAGCGAAACGGAUUAGAUACCCGUGUAGUCCACGCCGUAAACGAUGGAUACUUGGUGUAGGGAUAUCUAUCGUCUCUGUGCCGAAGCUAACGCAUUAAGUAUCCCGCCUGUGGAGUACGGCCGCAAGGUUAAAACAUAAAGGAAUAGACGGGGACCCGCACAAGCGGUGGAGCAUCUGGUUUAAUUCGAUAAUAAGCGGGGAACCUUACCAGGACUUGACAUCGCACUGACCGCUCGCGAAAGUGAGCUUUCCUUCGGGACAUUGUGACAGGUGCUGCAUGGUUGUCGUCAGCUCGUGCCUUGAGGUGUUCGGUUAAGUCCGCAAACGAGCGCAACCCUCGCCAUUAGUUGUAUUUUUCUAAUGGGACUGCCGGUUUUACACCGGAGGAAGGUGAGGAUGACGUCAAAUCAGCAUGGCCCUUACGUCCUGGGCCACACAGGUGCUACAAUGGUCGGUACAAUGGUAGCCAAGGAGCAAUCUGGAGCCAAUCCCAUCAAAGCCGAUCUAAGUUCGAAUUGGAGGCUGCAACUCGCCUCCAUGAAGUCGGAAUCGCUAGUAACCGUAUAUCAGCCAUGGUACGGUGAAUAUGUUCCCGGGUCUUGUACUCACCGCCCGUCAAGUCAUGAAAGGCAGGGGCACCCGAAGCCCUUACAUUAAGUAAGGUCCACGGUGAAACUGCUGAUUGGGACUAAGUCGUAACAAGGUA
rnacentral:rRNA from 1 species